CCCUUAGAUGUUCUGGGCUGCACGCGCGCUACACUGAAGCUAUCAACACGUUUUCCCUCCCUGAGAAGGGCGGGUAACCUUUUGAAUCAGCUUCGUGGUAGGGAUCGGGGCUUGCAAUUGUUCCCCGUGAACCAGGAAUUCCUAGUAGACGCGAGUCAUAAGCUCGCAUCGAUUAAGUCCCUGCCCUGUGUACACACCGCCCGUCGCUACUACCGAUUGAACGUUUUAGUGAGGCAUUUGGACCGACGCAUCUCAGUUUAACCGCUGGUUUGUGUUGGAAAGACUUCCAAACUUGAGCGUUUAGAGGAAGUAAAAGUCGUAACA
rnacentral:rRNA from 1 species